UGGCAUCCAAUCACACUAGAGAAGAUGGGAAAGCUCAUUGUCCAUGUUGUCGAUGUAGGAAUUUAUUUUGGUGUACUUUAUCGAACAUUCAAAAUCAUUUAUACCAACAUGGUAUAGAUGUGACUUACAAAAGAUGGACUUGUCAUGAUGAAGAUUUGCCGACUAGCUCGAGCAUGUUGUCCAGAAGUCCCACAAAUACGUCGUCAGUAGGUGGAUCACUCAGUCAUGAAAGGCAAACACUCAGUACAAAAGAUAGAGAAAUUCUGGAGGAUCUCCAUCCAGAGUUAUUUGAAACAAAUGUGGAAGCGGAAUCAGAACAUCAGCAUCCCAUUUUGAGAU
rnacentral:lncRNA from 1 species